rnacentral:rRNA from 1 species
UACGAGGGGUGCGAGCGUUGCUCGGAAUUAUUGGGCGUAAAGGGUAGGUAGGUGGUCUCAUUUGUCUAGGGUGAAAGCCUUGAGCUUAACUCAAGAAGUGCCCUAGAAACGGUGAGACUGGAGUCUUGGAGAGGGUUGUGGAAUUCCCGGUGUAGCGGUGAAAUGCGUAGAGAUCGGGAGGAACACCAGCGGCGAAGGCGUCAACCUGGACAAGUACUACACUCAACUACGAAAGCGUGGGGAGCAAACAG